UACAGAGGGGGCUAGCGUUAUUCGGAAUUAUUGGGCGUAAAGGGCGCGUAGGCGGCCAUGCGUGUCUUCCGUGAAAUCCCUCGGCUUAACUGAGGACGUGCGGAAGAAACUGCAAGGCUCGAGUCCGGGAGAGGGGGGUGGAAUUCCCAGUGUAGCGGUGAAAUGCGUAGAUAUUGGGAGGAACACCGGUGGCGAAGGCGGCCCCCUGGACCGGAACUGACGCUGAGGCGCGAAAGCCAGGGGAGCAAACGGG
rnacentral:rRNA from 1 species